GUUGAAACAUUUCCCAAACCAUCACCCUGGUUUGAGGGCAUUUGUCAUCCUGCCUUCCCAUCGCCUGAGCCUGUUUCAAAACUUCUCAAGUCUGUAGCAGGCCUUGGUCGUACAAAGAUCUGUCAAGAGAACUAGACUUGGAAAUGAUAACAGAGGAAGAACAAGAAAAACUUGAUGAAGAUGAAAAUAACCAUGCACAGGUUGAAGAAGAAAAGAAGCACAAAAGUAGUGAAGUGGAAG
rnacentral:lncRNA from 1 species